rnacentral:lncRNA from 1 species
AUGAAGAAUUAUGUGUUCAGUUCUUGGCAGUUUUUGACAUUCCUUGCUGCCAUUUGCCUCUUGCUCUUGAUGGCUUUGCAAGCUUUCUGCUCUGUCUACACUUGCACUCGUUUCUUCCAAUCUGCCCUAAAUUCCACUGAUUAAAUCAUCUUUCAUCAUCAUCUUAGUUUCAGAUCUUUCAAAAUUUCUUCCUCUUUUCAUAUUGAUCCACAUUUUAUUAAGAGAUUAUUUCUUCUUCAUGUGAAUGUGAUAUAUUAGUUGUUCAUGAGAAUAAAAUUGUUUCUUUCACUUUGGUUUCUUCUCUAACUCCUUGUUUAAGAAGAAAAAACUUUGUAUCUUUUGCAGAAUUUUUUUUUUAUCAGCAAUAAAAUAAAUAAAUAAAUAAAUAGGGACCACUUCAGGGGUGGUCCAACCCUUAUACAAAAAUACUUGACACCAAUCUCCUAUUAGAACGCCUACCAAAUUAACAAAGGGAUAAUCAUACCAACAGUAACCAAUUAAUGAAUCAACCUCAUACAAGCCAGAGGAUUUAAAACUCAACUAGAAUAAGGGAAAUAAGCAGAACGAGACUUUGCAUAAAUCCAAGACCAUAUCUUUACUUGCACCGAAGCGAACACUUCAGACACAUCUGCCACACCUCUAUUGAAGAUGACCGAGUUCCUAUGUUUCCAGAUUUCGCUCACAAUGCCAACCCAAAUUCUAU